rnacentral:rRNA from 1 species
AUUGAACGCUGGCGGCAGGCUUAACACAUGCAAGUCGAGCGAGCGGCGGACGGGUGAGUAAUGUCUGGGAAACUGCCUGAUGGAGGGGGAUAACUACUGGAAACGGUAGCUAAUACCGCAUACCAUCAGAUGUGCCCAGAUGGGAUUAGCUAGUAGGUGGGUUAAUGGCUCACCUAGGCGACGAUCCCUAGCUGGUCUGAGAGGAUGACCAGCAACCCUGGAGCGGAGACACGGUGCAGAAUCCGACGGGAGGCAGGAGUGGGGAAUAUUGCACAAUGGGCGCAAGCCUGAUGCAGCCAUGGCGCGUGUGUGAAGAAGGCCUUCGGGUUGUAGAGCACUUUCAGCGAGGAGGCGUUACUCGCAGAAGAAGCACCGGCUAACUCCGUGCCAGCAGCCGCGGUAAUAC